GUGUUACUUCGGUAGCACAUGCACAUAUACUAAAAUUGGAACGAUACAGAGAAGAUUAGCUUGUCCCAGAGGCGCAAGGAUGACACACAAAUUCGUGAAGCGUUCCUCAUUUUU
ensembl:snRNA U6 U6 spliceosomal RNA